AGAACGAACGCUGGCGGCAGGCCUAACACAUGCAAGUCGAGCGCCCAGCAAUGGGAGCGGCGGACGGGUGCGUAACGCGUGGGAAUAUGCCUUUCGGUACGGAACAACUCAGGGAAACUUGAGCUAAAUACCGUAUACGCCCUUAGGGGGAAAGAUUUAUCGCCGAAAGAUUAGCCCGCGUAGGAUUAGCUUGUUGGUGAGGUAAUGGCUCACCAAGGCGACGAUCCUUAGCUGGUUUGAGAGAACGACCAGCCACACUGGGACUGAGACACGGCCCCAGACUCCUACGGGAGGCAGCAGUGGGGAAUCUUGGACAAUGGGGAAACCCUGAUCCAGCCAUGCCGCGUGAGUGAUGAAGGCCUUCGGGUUGUAAAACUCUUUCGACGGGGACGAUAAUGACGGUACCCGUAGAAGAAGCUCCGGCUAACUUCGUGCCAGCAGCCGC
rnacentral:rRNA from 1 species